rnacentral:lncRNA from 1 species
UCAGCAUACCCCAUAUCAUUUGUGUAGGACAGAAGCUCAAAAAAAGAAAAGUGGUCCUUGUCUAUCAUGUCACCAUCCGAUCCUUACCCCUUUCUGCAGACAUGUCUAGAUUUACCACUGUAUUGAAAAACCAAAAAGCAAAACAUAGGAUGUCAAUAGAUUCCCCGACCCAAAAUUAUAAAAAAAACCCUAAUUUUCACAAACUCCAAUAAACUAAAUUACAACAACCAAAAACAACUAAAUAUUCUGUAAAUAAAAGCUUACCACAAAGGAAAACUUUGCUUGAAAGAGCAUAAACCACAAACUUCAGUCAUGACCAACUUCACUCACGACCAGCUCAAGUUAAUUACGACCAACUCCACUCACCACCACGGCUGUAAGAAGCAAAUGAUUACCCGUCUUAGUAAUAUAAUUGGCCAAGUUAUUGACGGAUAAUUGAGUCUAACUCAAAAUCGAUGAAGAUUCCACCGGGAAUCGGUCUCAAUGUAGUUCAUUAGGGUUUAUUAGACUAAGGAAAGGGGAUUUUGGGUGGAAGAUCAAUUAAGUAAGGUGAGGUAAAAUGUGGGUAAGGUAAAAGGGGCUUUUUUUUUUAUCUAACCUAGAUAAUAAACAUGU